CCCCUAGUAACUGCGAGUGAAGCGGGAAAAGCUCAAAUUUAAAAUCUGGCGGUCUUUGGCCGUCCGAGUUGUAGUCUGGAGAAGUGCUUUCCGCGCUGGACCGUGUAUAAGUCUCUUGGAACAGAGCGUCAUAGAGGGUGAGAAUCCCGUCUUUGACACGGACUACCAGUGCUUUGUGAUGCGCUCUCAAAGAGUCGAGUUGUUUGGGAAUGCAGCUCAAAAUGGGUGGUGAAUUCCAUCUAAAGCUAAAUAUUGGCGAGAGACCGAUAGCGAACAAGUACCGUGAGGGAAAGAUGAAAAGCACUUUGGAAAGAGAGUUAAACAGUACGUGAAAUUGCUGAAAGGGAAACGCUUGAAGUCAGUCGCGUUUGCCGGAACUCAGCCUUCCUUUUGGUUGGUGCACUUUCCGGUAGACGGGCCAGCAUCGAUUUCGACCGUCGGAUAAGGGCUGGGGAAAUGUGGCACCUUUCGGGGUGUGUUAUAGUCCUCAGUCGCAUACGUCGGUUGGGAUCGAGGAUCGCAGCGCGCCGCAAGGCAGGGGUUCGCCCACUUUCGCGCUUAGGAUGCUGGCAUAAUGGCUUUAAACGACCCGUCUUGAAACACGGACCAAGGAGUCUAACAAACCUGCGAGUGUUUGGGUGGAAAACCCGAGCGCGUAAUGAAAGUGAAAGUUGAGACCUCUGUCGUGGAGGGCAUCGACGCCCGGACCUGAAGUU
rnacentral:rRNA from 1 species